ACGGGAGGCAGCAGUGGGGGAUAUUGCACAAUGGGGGAAACCCUGAUGCAGCGACGCCGCGUGAGUGAAGAAGUUAUUCGGAAUGUAAAGCUCUAUCAGCAGGGAAGAAAAUGACGGUACCUGACUAAGAAGCCCCGGCUAACUACGUGCCAGCAGCCGCGGUAAUAAGUAGGGGGCAAGCGUUAUCCGGAUUUACUGGGUGUAAAGGGAGCGUAGACGGCAUGGCAAGUCUGAUGUGAAAGCCCGGGGCUCAACCCCGGGACUGCAUUGGAAACUGUUAAGCUAGAGUGCAGGAGAGGUAAGUGGAAUUCCUAGUGUAGCGGUGAAAUGCGUAGAUAUUAGGAGGAACACCAGUGGCGAAGGCGGCUUACUGGACUGUAACUGACGUUGAGGCUCGAAAGCGUGGGGAGCAAACAGGAUUAGAUACCCUGGUA
rnacentral:rRNA from 1 species